rnacentral:rRNA from 1 species
AGACAGACUGAAAACGUGAAUAAUGCCGGUAAACAAUGUACCAGCUUCAAUGAGCCGGGAUGUUUCCGGUUCAACGCGAUCCGGGCCUCCCCCGAAUGACGCACCUGACGGAAGAACUGCAUGGGAUCUACCCUUGGCCAGAUUGAAGGUUGGGUAACACCAACUGGAGGACCGGAUGGGUAAGCGUUGAAAAGCUUUCCAAUGAGCUGAGGGUAGGGGUGAAAGGCUAAUCAAACUCGGAGAUAGCUCGUACUCCCCGAAAUGCAUUUAGGUGCAGCCUCUUUAUAGUAUAUCGUGAGGUAGAGCGACUGAUUGGAUGCGAGGGCUUCACCGCCUAUCAAGUCCAGAUAAACUCCGAAUGCGCGAUAUAUAUUUAAAGGGAGUGAGGGCGCGGGUGCUAAGGUCCGUGUCCGAGAGGAGAAGAAUCCAGACCACCGGCUAAGGCCCCCAAAUGAUCGUUAAGUUGAACUAACGAGGUCGGAUCGCAGAGACAGCUAGGAUGUUGGCUUGGAAGCAGCCAUUCAUUUAAAGAGUGCGUAACAGCUCACUAGUCGAGCGAUCUGGCGUGGAUAAUAAUCGGGCAUAAACGAUCUGCCGAAGCCGUGGAUGUCGUAAGACAUGGUAGGGGAGCAUUCCAUGCUGCGUCGAAGAUGAGGGAUGACCCUUGUUGGAGCGCAUGGAAAAGCAAAUGUAGGUAUGAGUAACGAUAAGGGGGGCGAGAAACCCCCCCGCCGAAAGACCAAGGUUUCCUGAUCAACGCUAAUCGGAUCAGGGUGAGUCGGGACCUAAGGCUAAGCCGAACGGCGACGCCGAUGGAAGAAUGGGUUAAUAUUCCCAUACUGCCUCAUGGAGUGACGUGGAGACGGAGAAGUGACAGUCCUGCCGGCUGACGGAAUAGCCGGUUGAAGGGUGUAGGAGUGGAUCAUGGUAGGCAAAUCCGCCGUGAGAUCCGAACCUGAGAGUAUACGGAGCGCUUGCGCGACGUAAUAUGGACGUAACCAUGCUCCCGAGAAAAUCCGCUAAACUUAUCCAUGCGGCACCCGUACCGUAAACGGACACACGUGGUCGGGUUGAGAAUACUGAGGCGCUCGAGUGAUUCACGGUUAAGGAACUAGGCAAAUUGACCCUGUAACUUCGGGAUAAAGGGUCCUCGUCGUAAGGCGAGGCGCAGAGAAUAGGUCCAGGCAACUGUUUAACAAAAACACAUGGCUGUGCUAAAUGGAAACAUGACGUAUACAGCCUGACACCUGCCCGGUGCUGGAAGGUUAAGAGGAGAUGUCAUCGCAAGAGAAGCGUUGAAUUGAAGCCCCGGUAAACGGCGGCCGUAACUAUAACGGUCCUAAGGUAGCGAAAUUCCUUGUCGGGU